rnacentral:piRNA from 1 species
CAGGUCUACUUGUGUCCUGUGGUUUG